rnacentral:lncRNA from 1 species
AGGGACCAAGGAACAGCAAGUUUUGGCAGUUGGGCUGCUCCUGCCCCAUCUGACUAACCACCCACUUAUGAAAAGGGCAUGGGAGUGAAUCACCUGAGAAGGCAAAAUUCCCUUCGCUGUUAGUGUUGGCAGCCCUUAAAUUCUGACAAAAAAAAAUAAAUAAUCAUUUAUUGCCACAAGUCUCUUAACUGGAAUCUGCACAGUAACCCUCGGACACAGCCAAAGGGUUUCAAGCUGAGUGAAGGCAGAAGAGGGGCUGGCACAGAUCAAGCAGCCCAGGACAUCUAUGCUCAGCUCUCUGUCCUUUCCCUGCAGGAGAAGCCAGACAGGCUGUGGAUCUUGCUGCAGGACAGAGCUACCUGUAAACUGGAGAAUGUCCAGGAAACACAGAUGACUACACCUACAAGAGGACAAUAGAAGUGUGGAAAAAUAGGCCUGCCAAGCAAACUGAGAACACGAUAAUCCUCAGAGAGGGAUCCAGAAAAGGAGAUGAAUAGCUCAAACUCCACAAGCCAAGGAAUCUUCUAGCUGGCCAUGACCUGUUUGAAGUAUCUACCUCUGCAAUAAACAUUGCGACAUUCAACUGUGAAAGGAGUUUCUAAUUAGUAAGUACAUUGUUCAAGAAAAUUAAGAGAUUUAUUGACUUAAAUUAAGCACACUUAAUGUUACUUUACCAAAAAAUAAGUUUAUUGAAACUCAAGAAAUUGAGGUCCAUGGCAAGAUGUUCUGAUAGUCAGCUUGGAAAUACUCAGGACAUAAUUGGCUUUUCCCUUUUCUUUUGAUAACUAGAACCACUCUCUGGUUUUCAUUUUCUUGUCUCUUUUAGCAGUUUUGUCCUCCUUGAGCAGGGAAAGGAAUUGUUGUAGCAAAGGAUUUAUGCAUUAGGAUACUAUGAGGAUCAGUUGAUGCACCAGACUGAAUUUUUCUCUUUGGACAGAGCUGACAGAAGUCUAGAAGUUUUCUUCACCUUCUACACAGCCCUGUAGAGAGACACGUCUCAGUUUAAGAAGCAGUAGAAUUUAGCAUUCUGUCAGAAGAUUUUAUUUUUCAGAUCAUAUGGUUCAUGUUCAAGAAGUAGGAAUUUCACUAGUGGAUAUUGUGCCAGGGAAGUUGAUACAGGAAAUCCUGGUUUCUUUUUACUGGUCUUCAAUACCCCCAGGGGGAAAAUGAAGGAAUCCAGUGUGAACUGAACCCCCCAGGACAGCUCAGAACUUCCUGAGUAAUAACUGCUGGUGGAUUCCUUCAUACCAUACUAGUUUAAGACAAGUCCCGGUGUUUCUCUCAGUCUUGUUUCUCCCAGAUGUUCAUAACCCAUCUUUCUCUUGUUGACUCCCAUCCUAUCCUUCUCCAUUC